CCAUAAGUCUCCUGCAAAGCCAGAUGUACUUCCAAGCGGGCACAAAGUUGAAGCGAAUUCUAAAAUCGUGAUAUGUAUUUAUGCAUUGGGAAGAAUGAGAUCUAUAUGGGGUGAAGACGCAUUGGAUUUUAAACCAGAGAGAUGGAUUUCAAAAGGUGGAGAGCUAAAACAUGAACCUUCAUACAAGUUCAUGGCUUUUAAUGCUGGUCCGAGGGCUUGCUUGGGUAAACAUUUGGCUCUCCUGCAGAUGAAGAUAGUAGCUGUGGAGAUCAUACAAAACUAUGACUUUAAGGUCACUGAAGGUCACAAGAUUGAAGCAGUCCCUUCUAUCGUUCUCCGUAUGAAACAUGGUCUUAAUGUCACUGUCACUAAACAGAUAUGAUUCUUCUUGAUAAUUGGGUUACUGGUAUUAAUAAGUGUUUGUUAGGCGCAAAUAUCAUUUAAAGUAUAUUGUAUAAUUGUUGUGCUAUUGCCCUAUUUGUAUGAUUUAUAUGUGUGUCGCUAUUUGUAUUAUUUUAAAGUGUGUCGCUAUUCAUUCUAUUAAAUGUUUGUUCCCCGUAAAUAUUAUUUAAGAAAAAUAAAAAUUUCAGUUUCAAAAAAAAAAAAAACCUAUUGUAACUUUUUAUGAUUGAAUAUUGCCAAAUAAGUUGAGUACAUAUUUUAAAUCCGUUUCACUCCAUUUUGCUAUACUUUUAGGCUGAAACUCGUGACCAUUUAAAGAAAAUGAAAAUAAAAAAAUCAAGAUGAACAAAACUUAUAGGAAUGAGAAAUAUGUUGUGAAUAAAAGAAGAGAAAAAAAAUUGUAUUUUGUAUUUGAUGAUAUAUAUAUUAUUAUUUGAUAAAUGAAUUUACUUACUUAUCAUCUUCAUGAUUUUAGGAAAAGUUAUUAGUUUAAUUAAUAUUUUUAUUUUAAUAUAAUAUUUAAGAUAAUUAAUAAACAUUAACCUAUUCAACCGAUAUAUAUAUACUAUUAUUUUUUAAAAACUAUUUUAAUAUAUAUAUAUAAUUAUAUGACAUUUAUUACAGUUAGUUAAUAAAUACAUAUUAACAAUAAUAUCAUAAUUACAUAUAUCUUAUAUUUAGAGUAUCUCCAAUGUAUUACUCAUUUUUUUACUCCAAAAUGGUGUAACUCCAAAAUGGAAUUGGGUUUUACUCCAAUGUAUACUCCAUUUUUUACUCAAAAAAAAUAUUCACAAAUGAUUCCUUUUUUAUUUAGUUAAUAAUUGUUAGUAGUACCUUCAACUUAUAAAAAUUUAACAAUUAACCCAACUAUUUUAUAUUUACAAAACUUUCAUAAAAAUAUAUUUUAUUUAAGUUAAAUAUUUAUUAAUGAAAAUACAGUUAGAGCUUUUCUUCCAACUUCAAUUGGUGUAAUUUUCAUCAUAUGCAAUUUUUCUAAUUCAAAAACAAAUUAUGCAUUAGAAGAACAUAAAGAAGAUAACAAUUUUUUUGUAAUUUAAAUUAUGUACUUGAUCCAAAUGUUUGUACAUAUAUUAAGUUUAACAAGUAUAAAUGUUAUCAAUCGAAAUAUUGACCCACAAGAUAUAUAAACUCAUCUAUUCCGUUUGAACGAAACUUCAACGAUUCCAACAACAGUUUACAGAAUUAUUAAAUCACUUAUUUGUAUUAUAUUAUAUUACAUUAUAUUAUAGAUUAUUUAUGUUUAGUUUUGAUUUUUAUUAGUGUAUGCAUAUUUUAUGUAAAACUAUUAAAUAAUAUUUUAUGGAGUAUUAUAUUUAUUUUCAUGUUAUUGUAUUAUUUUAAAUAAUAUUUAAGUGUGAAAAAAAUAUUCAAAAUUAAAAGGAUUAUUUCAAAAAUAAAAAAAAUUCAACUCAAAAAUAGAGUAAUAGGCAAGAUUACUCCAUAAAUGGAGUAACCCUAGCCAUUACUUUAUUUUAGAGUUGAAUAUAGAGUAGGAUUGGUGAAGAUUUUACUCAAAAAUGAAGUUUGAAGUCAAAAAUAGAGUAGGGUUGGAGAUGCCUUUAGUUUAUGGUUUUACUUACUAACACUAUAGCCAGUUUUUUAUUCUUGUUGAAAAUAUUGAUCCAAGUAACUAUUACAAUAUUAUAAUAUUAAUUUAACAUUUUUAUUUAAUUUAACAAUUUAAAUAUUUAUAAAAAUAAACUUUAGAAUUUUAAAUAAUUAGGUAUAUAUAUAUAUUAGUCAGUACAAGGUCUGAACCAUCACUAGUUAAUUAAUAUAUAUAGGGAUACAAUAUCUUAGAGAAUAAACAAAUCUUUAGAUACAAGUUUAUUUAGAAUAUUAAUCUAUAAGAUAAUCUCUAUAUAAUAAACAUCCAUAUCUAAAAAACGUUUUUUGACAUCAACAUAAACAUUCAUAUCUAAUAUUUAUAAUACAACUUUUAUGUGUCUAUUAUACAAAUAUUUUCUAAAUCGCGUAAGUUGUUGUCUUGUCAAAAAUCUUAAGAGAAAAAUAGAUCUUGAUCCGUACAUUCGUGCGAGUGUUAUUCUUUCUAUAAUAAAAUAUUCUAAAUUAUAUAACAUAAAUUUUUUAUUUGUAAAUAUUAUUAUGUAGCAAUACUAUUUUACAUAACUUUAUGUUUUGUUUCUAAAAUUUGAAAUAUAUAUGGAGAUUAAAUUAAACUGAACCUAUAUAAAUAGAGUUGAAUAUUUUUUGGGAUACUAUUGAAAAAAACAAAACUUAUUUUUUUAAAAACUAUAAUAUUUUGUACUUGCAAAAUAAUUUUGUAGUCAAGAUCAUAUUUGAGAAAUUGCUUGAAGUACACCAAGUUGGAUAUCAUUUUUUCUUAACUCAAUUAAAGAUAUCCUGAUAUUUAGGUUUAAAAUGCAAUAUCCGUAAAAAAAAAAAGCAAAUCACAAAUAUCAAUAUUUAUAGGAACGGAUAUCCAAUAUAAUCUGUUAUAUGCAUAUAUAUAUAAUUAAAGAAUUAUGUAUAAGUUAUAUAUAAAUUUUACAAUAUUUUUGUUUUUAAAUAAUUUCAUUUUAAGAAUUUUAUUUUUCAUGUAUUAUUUUGAAAAAAAAUGUCAUUUAAUAUUAAUUAACAGUAUUUUUAUAUAUUUAUCAACCACCUUUAUAUACUUUCACAUACCCAUACAUGUGAACAUUGACGUGAGCACUUUAUAACUAAGUAUUUACCACAACUAAAAUAUCUAAUUUUUUUGAAAGUUAAAAUAUUCUUUUUCUUAAUGCUUCUUUCACUAUCGACCAAAUUGUAGUAAAAUGAUUUGUCUUAAUAAUUUUUUUUUCUUUUUUUUUAACUAUUAUCCGUUUAGAAACUAUAAUAUGAAACUAUUGGUUCGUCAUCACGACUAUCUAAGAUUCAUAACUUGAAAACAAACAAAUAAUAGUAAUUUUUGAUUAUCACAAGAAAAAAAAAACUAAAAACAUCAAACAUUUUAACCGAACAACCCAAAUAAAUAUUGAUUUAAAAUGAUAGUUAUAUUUUUGGAGAUUAAAAACAAAAAAGAAACAAUCUAAAACCAAACUGAUAUCGAGAUUAAACAGAUUAAUGUCUCCUUAUUAAAAAAAUAACGAAACUAAUAAUCACAUUCCGCGGAUUAUUAUUUAGUAUAAUUGAAAUAAAGAUCAACCAUGUCUGACAAAAAAAUAAAAUAAUAGAUCAACCAUGUAAUUGGGUCUAGUCAUCUAAAUCACGUGGCACUCAGUUUAAGACAAAAGAAUAAAUGAUUUUUGGGGAUUUGGUCCGAUCCGGUCAGUUGAGCUAGGUCAGCCAGGAACAUUUUCCAAGAAACUUCUGCAUUUAAUUGAACUUAAGUUAUAUAGCAAACCAACUUAACUAAAUGGCGAUGAUAGGUUUACCUAUGGUACCUACACUUCAAAAUUCUGUAGUCUAAAAAUGGCGAUGAUAGGCUUACCUGAAGUCUUCGUAGCAUUCAUUUCUUUCCUUGUAUUCAACUGUUCCUUCCUCCUCAAGAAAUCUCAGAGCCAGCCUAUUCUCAAGAACUGGCCUUUCUUUGGGAUGCUUCCAGGAAUGCUCGCCCAUAUCCCUCGUAUUUUUGACUUCUCCGUCGAGGUUCUCGAGGCCACCAAUCUAAUUUUUUCUUUCAAAGGGCCAUGGCUUAGUGGUACCGACAUGCUAUUCACGGCCGACCCAUGGAAUAUUCAUCACAUACUAAGCUUAAACUUUGGCAAUUACCCUAAAGGACCUGAGGCUAAGAAGAUCUUCAAUGCUCUCGGAGAUGGAAUCUUAAGUGCUGAUAUGGAGCUGUGGGAGAAUCUGAGGAAGUCAAAUCACGCCAUCUUUCAUCAUCCAGAUUUCCUGAAGCUGUCAGUAAGUAGCAAUACAAUUAAGCUAAAGGAAAGUCUUAUUCUUUUUCUUGAUAAUGCUGCUCAUGAAAAAAUUAUCAUAGACUUACAAGAUGUGUUCAAGAGAUUCAUGUUUGAUACUUCUUCGAUUUUGAUGACUGGUUAUGACCCAAUGUCACUGUCCAUUGAGAUGCCAGAAGUUUUGUUCGAUGAAGCUGUGGAAACAGGUGAAGAAGCUAUCUAUUAUAGAUAUUUCAAACCGGUGAUCUUGUGGAGACUUCAAAGCUGGCUUGGUAUUGGACUUGAGGGGAAGAUGCGAACUUAUUUGGCGGCUUUCAAUCGUAGGUUUGCAAAGAUCAUAUCUUCUAGAAGAGAGGAGAUGAGCCGGGGGAAAAGAAAACAAUCAGUGGACGUGUUAACGUAUUAUAUGAAUGUGGAUACGACCAAAUAUAAGCUCUUGAAACCGAAUAAUGAUAAGUUUAUACGAGACGUUGUUUUCAGUCUAUUGUUGGCAGGAAGGGACACUACAAGCUCAGUUCUCACUUGGUUCUUUUGGCUUCUUUCUAAGCAUCCUCAAGUUUUGACCAAGAUCCGGAAAGAGAUCAACACUCAGUAUGAUCCUACAGAUCUAGAGAAGCUCGUGUAUCUACAUGCUGCAUUGUCCGAAACAAUGAGACUCUACCCACCACUUCCCUUUAACCAUAAGUCUCCUGCAAAGCCAGAUGUACUUCCAAGUGGGCACAAAGUUGAAGCAAAUUCAAAAAUUGUGAUAUGUAUUUAUGCAUUGGGAAGAAUGAGAUCUAUAUGGGGAGAAGACGCAUUGGAUUUUAAACCAGAGAGAUGGAUUUCAGACAGUGGUAAUCUAAGACAUGAACCUACAUACAAGUUCAUGGCUUUUAAUGCCGG
rnacentral:lncRNA from 1 species